rnacentral:rRNA from 1 species
UCUGAUUCAGCGGCGGACGGGUGAGUAAUGCCUAGGAAUCUGCCUGAUAGUGGGGGACAACGUUUCGAAAGGAACGCUAAUACCGCAUACGUCCUACGGGAGAAAGCAGGGGACCUUCGGGCCUUGCGCUAUCAGAUGAGCCUAGGUCGGAUUAGCUAGUUGGUGAGGUAACGGCUCACCAAGGCGACGAUCCGUAACUGGUCUGAGAGGAUGAUCAGUCACACUGGAACUGAGACACGGUCCAGACUCCUACGGGAGGCAGCAGUGGGGAAUAUUGGACAAUGGGCGAAAGCCUGAUCCAGCCAUGCCGCGUGUGUGAAGAAGGUCUUCGGAUUGUAAAGCACUUUAAGUUGGGAGGAAGGGCAUUAACCUAAUACGUUAGUGUUUUGACGUUACCGACAGAAUAAGCACCGGCUAACUUCGUGCCAGCAGCCGCGGUAAUACGAAGGGUGCAAGCGUUAAUCGGAAUUACUGGGCGUAAAGCGCGCGUAGGUGGUUUGUUAAGUUGGAUGUGAAAGCCCCGGGCUCAACCUGGGAACUGCAUCCAAAACUGGCAAGCUAGAGUAUGGCAGAGGGUGGUGGAAUUUCCUGUGUAGCGGU